rnacentral:rRNA from 1 species
AUGCCGCGGUGAAUACGUUCCCGGGCCUUGUACACACCGCCCGUCACACCACGAGAGUUUGUAACACCCGAAGUCGGUGAGGUAACCUUUUGGAGCCAGCCGCCGAAGGUGGGACAGAUGAUUGGGGUGAAGUCGUAACAAGGUAGCCGUAUCGGAAGGUGCGGCUGGAUCACCUCCUUUCU